ensembl:lncRNA
GUGUCACUGGGGUGGAAUUUGAGGUUUCAGAGGCUUAAACUGGGCCCAGUGUCUCUCUUUCUUCCUGCUGCCUGAGGAUCCAGAUUCAGAUGUACAACUCUUGGCUCCUUCUCCAGCACCAUGUCUGUUUGCAAACGGCCAUGCUUCCUGCCAUAAUGACAAUGGUUUGAACCUCGGAACUCAUCCUUGGUGGAUCACAUCUACUAUGAUCUGGAAACAUCUGGGUGCCAAGGAGCAAAAUAAUCCAGAAGGCUCCAAGCCCCACAAUGGAAAUAAGCGCCCGUCAGCAGAAGGACACUCGCAGUUGCCUGUCCACCCACCCGGGGUUGCUGGCACCGUGGCCAGGACAAAUGUCUGCUUUGGAGAUGGGAUCUGGAGAUGAAGAAUAAUAAUAAAUUGCUAGCGCUGUGCAUGAUUCUGCUGAUUGACUAUGGCUGCAAUGAUAUACCCUAGCCUUCAGGAGACAUUGUCAAUUUCCAUUAGUUCUCUAGGAGCUCAGUCAGGUUACCAAGGGAACAAGCUCCAGCCAAUCUGCCAGAACCUGAAUGUUACAUGGAAUACAGGAGGGAUCCAGUAAAUACUCAGAAUGUCACCUGAUUGAAAUCCACAAAUCUAUGCUUCUUUCUCCUUGGAACCCUUGCAGCUCAUCACUACCCUUUUCAUCACUCAUGGACAUGAAGCAAGCAUGUAGACCUCUCAACACCAACCUCUUUCCUGCAAGAAUUGCCCCCUGAUUGUGAGAGAGAUUAUUCGUGGGGAAUUGGCACGGUGGCUCUAUAACUUUCUUUUGUUCUUCACCAGUGAUCUGGAAGGUUUCCAGAGAAAAGUCUCUUUCUUUCCACCUCGGUGAAUUCAAGCAGGGUUGUUGCUGCCCUUCUUGCCUGGAAGACAUUGUCACAGAAUUUUGGAAGAGUCCUGCUUGCUCCACCACAAGGCAACUUCUCUCAUUCAUACUUGUGUUUCCUGUGAGAACCAGUGCAAUGGGGGGGGGGUUAUUCCCUGAGGGGGGCUUUAUCAAUAUCUCUUCCAAUAUUUAUAUGAUGGCUGGCAGAUGCAAUGUUGAGCAGCCCAGGUUUCUUGCACAUUGUAGUGUGGCCACGAUGCCCUGUGACUAACUUGUACAAGUUCAGGGUGAAGUCAAGCUGCCUCCAAAGGCGCCCAUGUUCCUAGGAUAUGUGAGACCUCUGCCCCUUGUUUUUCUGUUGUUUGUGGUGCUGAGGAUUGAACUCAGGGACUUGGGAAUGCUAGACAGUGCUCAGGGCUGUGCCACAGAGCUGCAUCCCCAGCUCUGUGGGAGAGCAGUCUUAAUGGCAAAUAAUUCCACACAGUGAGCAGUGCAAUGGCUUUGCACAUUUUUAUAGAGACAGCAAGAUGUUUUGUGUACUACAGUGAUGGUUGCAAAGUAGCUUUGGGGUGACUGGUUUAGUGUUAUCUCAAGUAAUUUAAUUUCUUUAAAUGAGUCUUUUUACCCUAAGCCUCCAUAUUAGCAUGCCAAAGGUGGAUAACCACUGGUCCUGAUUCAUUGUCCCAUGAUUACUGAUGUAACCAUUCAUUCAUAAGUAUUUGUCACACCUCUGCAACCUAAUAGAGGCAAACUAUACACACAAACCGGAGCUCUCAACCGUGAGGAACUCACAGUCUGCUGAGGGAGUCAGGAGUUCUACACACAAUGUCCUAUGCUGGUUUUAAAACAUGCACCGUGAGCUCUGAGUGCCCAGAUGGAGGAUAGGAGAGGUCUCAAUUCAAACUGAAUAGAGGGUUUCAAGAUAUUCACUGGAAAGGGUUUCUCAGGGUCGAAGUGACUGGAGAGGAGGUAGGGAGAUGAAGUGAGAGGAGGUGAUGGAUUCCUGCCCUCAUCCUCUCCACUUGUCAGUUAAGCUUCAAAGUUGUCCAGGUUCUGCCACCUGUCAACUAAAAUUUAACUGAGAGAAAUCUCUCAUCAAGAGGUUAAUUGUGGCACAGAGUCUCAUUUCCGAGGCUGGGGCGACCCAGCACCGGUGCAGACUGUUUCCUUUCCAGCAUCUGGAGUGUACUGCCUGUUAGAAAAAUACAGAUAUUUGCAAUUGUGUCAUUUCUAGUCCCUAGCUUCUUCCUUCACAGGGGCUCUCUCUGUAUUUAAAAUCUCUUGGCUUUUCAGAGCUUGUCCAGAUGGACCCAGAGCACCUCCAUCUCCCUUGGGCCCUCAUCUCCCUGGCACACCAGGCCCAAGCUGAAGGAAGCUAGGAAAUGCAGGGGUGACCCCUCCCCACACUCCAAGGACAGAAAACUCCCUCUUUGGUGAGCUUGAAUUCAGGAGGAUUUGACUGCAUCCAAGAUGACAGCCUUGUCUCAUCAGCCAAGGGACUGUCAUUUGGAAAACCCUGAACCUCUAUUACAAUGAGCCUUCAUCCAGCAGCUGAUGGAAGCAGAAGCAGACACUCACAGCUAAACACUGAACUGAACUCCUGAAAUCCAGUUGCAGAGAGAGAGAGAGAGCAGUGAUGAGCAAAGGGGUCAAGACCAGGCUGGAGAAACUCACAGAAACAGCUGACCUGAACAAGGUGGGGGGCUCCUGGACUACAGACUGAUAGCUGGGAAACCAGCAUAGGACUGAUCUAGACCCCAUGAAUGUGGGUGUUUUGAGGUCUAGACAACCUAGGGGGCCACUGGUAGUGGAUCAGUAUUUACCCCUAGUACAUGAAUGAACUUUGGGAGCCUUCUCCACAUAGAGGGCUAGACACAUGGGAGAGGGUCUAGGCCCUGCUCCAAAUGGUGACAGACUUUGAAGAUCCCCCAUGGAAUGCCUCACCCUCCCUGGGGAGCAGAAAGGGAGUGGGAUAGGGGGUCGGUUUGGGGGAGCAGGAGAGGAGGGGAAGGAGAGGGAACUGGGAUUGACAUGUAAAACAAGCUUGUUUCUAAUUUCAAUUUUAAAAAAGAAAGAGAAAAAAAUUGCCCUCUUUCCUGCUGUCAGUCAUUUAUUUAUAUUCUCAAGAUUCUGUGUCCUUAAAACUUGCUCUGCUUGUUGGUUUCAGGUGACUCAUCCUUGCCCAGGGCAGACUCUGCUCCUGCCCCAGUCACCUGUCAGCCCACUAAUUGAUACAUUAUUCUUUUUCCCAUGGAUAGUUGUUGAAUUUGAGUCUUAUGCUUAUAUCUUUUUUCACAUUUUUAAAGAGCUUAAUUGUAUGUGGAUGAGUGCUUUGCCUGCAUGUGUGCUUGUAUGUAUGUGCACCACAUAUGUGCCUGCUGCCCAUGCAGGUCAGAAGACGGAGUAAGACCCCCUGGAACUCGAGUUAUAAGCAACCAUGGGGGUGCUAGGAACUGAAUGUAUACUGAGCCAUCUCUCCAGCCCAGCGUUGGUAUUUUUUUGUUUGUUUUCUUCAUUUAG